GGGGGAAGAAGAACACAAGCAAAAAACCUAACCCUCACUUUAAUUUCAAAUUUAUGUAACUUUUGAUUCGGAGCUCUGAUUGACGAACCGUUUGCGACCACGCAUUCACCGCGACGAGCUCUACGAAACCCAUAGAACAAUUUAGUAGGUUCAAGUUAGCUUCCGGGACUAAUGGGUUCAAGCUAUUGAGUAUAUGGAUAUAGUGUAGAUUAAGUGGGUAUAUAAGCAUUGGAAUUGAAUUGGGAUUACUUGGAGGUUUGUUGAUGACCAAGUCUUGUUUUGGGGCUGUUUGAUUGAGCUUGGAGGGACUAUAAUUUUGAGUUGUGAGGCUGCCUUGGGUGAAUUAAGUGAUCGGCCAAGGUAUGGUUUAAGUUUCGCACGUUUAAUAUUUACGGUGUUGUGAAAAUUUAGGUUAGAGGAACCAUAGGAUAAGUUGAAUUGUUUGUUGUAUUUAAUGAUUAGCCUUGUAAUGUUGUUGGAAUAGAUUUGUUGGUGGAUUUAUAUAUUGGAAUUAUGAGGUGUGAAAGUUAUUAAUGGUGUGCUCUUAUAUUUAUUUAUGAUGGAUUAUGAUUGGUGUUUGUUAAU